rnacentral:rRNA from 1 species
AGUGAACGCUGGCGGUAGGCCUAACACAUGCAAGUCGAACGGCAGCACAGAGGAGCUUGCUCCUUGGGUGGCGAGUGGCGGACGGGUGAGGAAUACAUCGGAAUCUACUCUGUCGUGGGGGAUAACGUAGGGAAACUUACGCUAAUACCGCAUACGACCUACGGGUGAAAGCAGGGGACCUUCGGGCCUUGCGCGAUUGAAUGAGCCGAUGUCGGAUUAGCUAGUUGGCGGGGUAAAGGCCCACCAAGGCGACGAUCCGUAGCUGGUCUAGGAGGAUGAUCAGCCACACUGGAACUGGGACACGGUCCAGACUCCUACGGGAGGCAGCAGUGGGGAAUAUUGGACAAUGGGCGCAAGCCUGAUCCAGCCAUACCGCGUGGGUGAAGAAGGCCUUCGGGUUGUAAAGCCCUUUUGUUGGGAAAGAAAUCCAGCUGGCUAAUACCCGGUUGGGAUGACGGUACCCAAAGAAUAAGCACCGGCUAACUUCGUGCCAGCAGCCGCCGCCG